rnacentral:rRNA from 1 species
CCUACGGGAGGCAGCAGUGAGGAAUAUUGGUCAAUGGACGAGAGUCUGAACCAGCCAAGUCGCGUGAAGGAUGACUGCCCUAAGCGUUGUAAACUUCUUUUAUCUGGGAAUAAAAUGUUCCACGUGUGGGAGUUUGUAUGUACCAUAUGAAAAAGCAUCGGCUAACUCCGUGCCAGCAGCCGCGGUAAUACGGAGGAUCCGAGCGUUAUCCGGAUUUAUUGGGUUUAAAGGGAGCGUAGGUGGAUUGUUAAGUCAGUUGUGAAAGUUUGCGGCUCAACCGUAAAAGUGCAGUUGAAACUGGCAGUCUUGAGUACAGUAGAGGUGGGCGGAAUGCGUGGUGUAGCGGUGAAAUGCUUAGAUAUCACGCAGAACUCCGAUUGCGAAGGCAGCUCACUGGACUGCAACUGACACUGAGGCUCGAAAGUGUGGGUAUCAAACAGGAUUAGAUACCCGAGUAGUC